AGGCGGGCAGUUCGCGCCGGCGCCCAGCAGAGCUCGGGUAUCCUCCGGGAGAAGCCUGGGCACCAGUGCGAGAACGAUAUGUGCCUCCGGUUCCCGGGAGGAAAGAGCUGGAGAGAGCCGGAGCUGAGCAGCACUUCACGCCGAAGUUUCCCCCUUUGAAUCGUCUGGAGUUCUCUCUCUCUGCUUCCUGACCAUCAUGACAUGACCAGUCUCCUCUUCCUGCACAAGGUUCUGUUGCCAUGAUCUUCUGUCUUUCCCUGGGCUCAGAACCAGCAGAGCCCAUGAUCAUGGAUGGACUGGGAUCCCUGAAACAGGUCGUUUGGGCUGUUCUAAGCCUCUCGUGUUUCAACGUGAAUUUUGGAAUCAAGCUGCUGGUAUGCAAAGAGGCCAGAAUUUGGAGACAUUUACCUCUUAAUAUUAAGCCUGCUGACCCACAUAUGGGGGCUGUCUUUUCAUUUACUUGGGUCUUUGCUUCACUUGGGGUUUUAAACAGUUUUUUAUGUCUCUCAUUAAAUUUAUUACUACGUAUUUUA
rnacentral:lncRNA from 1 species